AACGUCUAAUACCGUCACUGGUUUAACAUUCUUUCCGCCGUUGAUAAACAACUAGUAACGAGAUCGACAAGGCUGUUCUACAAUGGCCGGAUGCUAGCUACAGUCCGUUCUUGUUUCCAAGUUAGUUUGAAUUGAUAUUACCCUUACGCAUUGCAUGACCACACUCACACUUUGUAUAUAGUAAAUAAAACACCAUCUGUGUACCGUUUCAGUAGGUGUGCUGUUUAAACUUAGACAUGCACAUACAUGGUGUUUAUUAUGGUUGUAUACACCUUUUAUCGUAAGAGAUGACUAACCGACUUCACUCCAUAUAAAUUACAUAGAGUGUAGUCGGUAAGUCAUGGUUAUAAGGUUAUAAGGUGCACUCUUAUGGUAAAAGGUGUAUAAAACCAUUAAUGAACACUCUUUACAGGUUGCACAUCACUUCCUCACAUCGCGAGGCAUAUUGAUAUGAUAUUUUUAUAUGUUAUUGUUAUUGUUUUAUAACAUUUUAUUGUUUUAUAACACAUCCUUUAAUAACAUUAUACGGUAACAUUGAUUUUUCAUAAUAAUACAUUCCUGUUUCAUCCGUUUGGACCGACAUUUUUCCUUUUUGAAAUUGUUUGAAGUAAUUCAUCAUUUGGACUUCAGGUAGGAUCACCGAGAAUCAUUCUGCUCCCUUUAUUGCGAUUUUACUAUCUUCCAUAACGAAGAAUUCUAUCUUUUCAUCAAGAAAGUCGAUACCACUGGAUUGUCUUAUUGCUCAAUGUCAAAAAAAUAAUAGAAAUAAACAUCGAUGCCUAAACGAAGGUUUAAUUUUGCGGCAUCUCGCAGUAUUUUAUCAAAAGCAUGGGGUAAUGCGAGAUCCUGUAAUCGCUGUAAUUCAUCUGGAGAUGGGUAAAUUUUAAAGAUUUUAUAUUAGUCUAGAGUCCUUCAACGGGUUUUCUUUACAAAUUCUACAGCUUCCGAUCUACGCUCUUGCCCGCAGAUCUUCUAGCUGCACUAUCCUAUCUGUAAAAAAAAAAAGGAAUAUUCGCAUUCCGUUUUUUUUUUAUUUUGCGCGCAAGUUAAUGUGAGGGUUUUUAAUUUUAUGCACUAUAUGUUCAUUAUUCAGAUAAAUCAAGACGCAUGAAGAUGUUUAUAUUGCUCCCAGAUUAUAGGUGCACCAAUUUGUUUUCAUAAAGAGAAGUAUUUCUUCCAGUCAUCUGAGUCCAAUUGGUAGUGUCACCGAGUGUGCUCAGAUUAUUUUUAAUAUAAUAAUAUGGAACAAAUUUCUUCUCGUAAUAAAAUAUUCCUGUUUCAUCUGUGUAAAUUGACAUACCUAUCUGUUCGCUAAAAUAUUUAAACCAGUUUAACGCUCGAUUCUUUGGCAGGAUUGCUGAGAGACAAGUAGUGUCAUCUGUAGCAAUUCUGUCAUCACUCAUUGUUAAAUAAUAUAAUAUAUUCUUUCGUUAGCAAAAUAGGUGUAAUUGUGGCUUUUAAUUUCCCGGUUUCCGAGGAAAUUGUAAAUAUAGAUAUUCUUAUUAAAUCAGUAGCUUAGAAUUGAAGCUUUUUGUAUCAUAUUAUCGGUUGUAUGUGCAAGUGCAUAAUCUUACAGUGUAUGCAGUUUCUUAGUUGAUGUUAGUAGCUUAAUCAUUUUAAUUAUUUUUAAUGUUAACAGUACACAACAUAUGUUGGUUAUUCAAAUGAAUCAGAAAAUGUUAAAAUGUUUAUUUCGUGCAUGAGUCUUGCAUGGACCGUAUUCAUUGAAUAGAAUAAAAUAUCUAUUCCAAUGAUGAUGAGACUACUCCAAUUGUAUCUUCAAUUGUAUCCCAAUUUUCUUUAAUAAAUCAAUAAAGUACAGAUUUUUCCUUGUAAUAGAGUAUUCCUGCUUCAUCUAAAUAAAUGGUUAAACUUAUUUGCUUGUGGAAAUACACAAACCAGCUUAGUACUUGACCUUUAGACAGGACUGCUGAGAGGUAAAUGAUUCCAUCUACAGCAAUUCUAUUAUCUUUCAUUAUUAGGGUUUUAAUCUUUUCUUCUUCGCAAAAUUUGUUGAGUAUUUCUUUUUUAAUCUCGCAAUGUCCGGGAUAAUUAUAGAUGUAUACGUUGAUAUUUAAUUGAGAGCUCAAUACAGAGGCUUCCAGUAAAGUUUCGUUUGCUACGUGUGCAAGUGCAAUGUCUUGCAAUUUGUGCAAACCUUUGACCGAGAUUAAAAGUUUUAUUAUUUUUGAAACAGUAUUCUUAAAUUAGUUUGCAGUUAUCCAUACUAAUGAUAAUUAUCCAUACUAAUGCGUCGCCACAUUCCAUCACGUAUCCUCCUUUUUGAAUCUCUCAAAAUCAUAAGAUGCUGACCUCGCCAAAUAUUCUAAAUAGUCCAAAUCAUCGAUGAAACUAGUUUCGUUAUUUGCAACGUCAUAAGUCACAUUACUAUUAAAGGAAUUUAUGUCCUCACCCAUUUCACUUCUUUUUACAACCAGAGUGUGCAACCCUCGCUAUCCACAGGGAUAUUAAACAUAUAAUCGUCAGGUAGAGUAAAUCUAAUACGAUCUAUGCCCUUAAGUUUGUUAUAAUUACGCUCCACCUGUUUACGCCAAAUGUUCUUCAGAGUCUUCACCGCUUUACGCUGAUAGACGCUCUUAGACUACAAGCUAACGUCGACCGUAUCCAUAACUUCUCAUGUGAAAAACGGUAUCAAUUGAACAUGCUAUGAAUAUUUUUAGAACGUCCGAUAUGGGAAAAAAUUAUAAGAAAAUUAUAAAAAAAAUAUUUGAAAACUACUAACAAAGACAAGCUUUGCAAAAUAAAACAACAAUUGACAGUCAAACGAAAAAAUUGUUCAAAAUGGAAAAACAACACUAGCGUGCAGUCAUCGAAAGAAUAAUAGAAAUCGUAAAAUUCUUAGGCCAACAAUGUCUUGCAUUUAGGGGAACAUCGGAUGUUUUGACCAAAGAAACAACAGAAAUUAUUUAAAAUUAAUGAGACUAUUUGCUAAAUUCGAUUCAGUGCUUGCUAUCCAUCUUUGCCGUAUGAAAAAGAAAACGAAAGUGCACUACACUAUCAAGAUGAAAUAAUUUCUUUGUUUUCCAAUAAUAUUCUCAUUUAUAUUUUGUCAUUAAUUAGAAAAGCUAAAUAUUAUUCUAUAAUCUUAGGCUGCACACCAGAUGUUAGUCGUAAAGAACAGAUGACAAUUAUUUUGCGAUUUGUAUCGAUAAAAAAUAACAGUGUUAAAAUAGAAAAACACUUUAUAGGCUUUAUUGAAAUUUAUAAUUCGACUGGUAAAUGCAUCCACCAAUUACAUAGUUAACAAAUUAAAAGAAUUUAAUCUUGACAUAAAAUCUUGACUACAAAAUUUACGCGGACAAGGUUAUGAUAAUGGAGCCAAUAUGAAAGGAAAAAAUAAUGGUUUACAGAAACAUAUUCUGAAUAUUAAUCCUAGGGCUUUCUUUGUGCCUUCUACAGCUCACACCCUUAAUUUAAUAGUUAAUGAUGCAGCAAAAAUUAUUUUCGAGACGAUCAAUUUCUUUAAAAUUAUUCAGGCAAUUUAAAAUUUUUUUUCUGCUUUAACAAAAUGAUGGAGUGCAUUAAAUAAUCACUUUUCAAAAUUAACAUUAAAGCAUUAUUCCGAUACUCGCUGGGAAUCUCAAAUCAAUGCUCUAAAACCUUUAAAAUAUCAGAUUGGAGAGAUUUACGACUCAUUAUUCGAAAUAUUUGAAGAUUCUAAUUAAAAUUAAUGCGCAGGAAGCCGACCUUCCACCAACGCUCUCCUGCUGAGACCGACUCGUUCUCCGAGAAAAGCACUCGAGGUCCUCAAGCCAAAGGAAGCAUCAACUAAUCCACCGUCUGAAUAAUAGGAAAAAUAUUCAUCCCUAGGAAAUCGCAACCUAAUCGCUAGAGUGGAAAGACUUCAGAAAAUCCUAACAACAGAAAGACGCAAGAAUCUAAACCAGAAACCAAUUCCUGGACGGGCAGCGUUUUCAGAGAUGUCCACAUUACCUUCGCCUUCCCCUGUUAUCCCCGAGGAGCGCGACUCACUUUCUCCUCCGCCACCCUCUUCAGCCCCCACAAUAUCAUCCCACCUUACAUACCGAAUCUAUCCCGACACCCCUUUGUCCUCCGUUCCAAGCCCAUCAUAUUCUCCUGUCCCUGUAAAUUUCUUUGAUUCUCCUACCCCUUCGAAUUCCACGUCCAGUGUGGAAUUUUUAGAGGAAAUAUAGAAGCACAUGAGUUCUUUAGUAAAUGAUACGAGCAAAAAGAAAAGAACUCGCAAAUCAAAUUUGAAGACUGUAAUCAAAGAUAGAAAAUUAAUAAAGCUCGAUUAAACCAAAGUCGAUCAGGUUCGCAAGGAGCAACCUGAUGAUGAAGCUAACUCAGCAAAGGUUAAGUCAGGACCGAAGAGGUCUAGCCCGGCAGUUAGAAGACGAGGCGACAAACGACUCGAAAGAUUCAGAGAUCGCAAGAGCACCGAGCAUACAGCCAACGAACACAAGAAAAUAUAAAAUUACAAUUUGUCAUUUGAAUAGAUAUUGCUUUAAUUUUGUUCAGGUGUAUUAUUUUAAAGCAUGCUUUAUGUUUUAUUACAAUAUCUAUUUCAUUUUUUCUUAAAGGAUAUAAAGUUCGGAUAGAAAAAUGAUUCUUAAUCGGUGAUACUGGUCAUUCAAUACCGAAGGUGUGAAUAAUACCGAUAAGAAUACUAACUCAAUCUAUGCAACGAAAACUAAAACCCAUCAGAUGAUUCCUAUUUCCUGGGAAUAAAUGAAAAAAAAAAAAAAAGUACAAAUUCAGUUGAAAGUACCAUCAUUAACAACCGUAUGAAAAAAGUAAUUAUCAGAGUUGGGAAGUUAUAUGAUGUUUUUUGCUAUAGAAGGUACACAUUUUAUUAAACAUUUCUGUUACAGAAAUUAGAAUACAACGUUCUAAGAGAAAAGCAACUUAGAGCAUUCAUUUUAAUAUAUGCUUAUCAAUUAGUAGCAAAGAAACUUACAAAAGAAAAUAUGCGACUAAUACGCAUUGUAGCAUGGUGUAUGGAACUGGUAAGUAAUUUUGUAAUGUACGUUCUGUUUUUUACGUUUUUAAACAAACUGAUAAAAACACAGAUGCAAGCUGCUACCAUCGUGAUUGACAAUUUACAAGACCAAUCAUCAUUUCGGCGAGGAAAGCCAUGUUGGUACCGACGCGACCAAAUUGGGCUGGCAACUAUAACAGAUGCCUUAAAAUUGAAGCAUUCUAGAUUUUAUUUAAUACAAAAACAUUUCAAAGGAAAAAAAAACGUGAAUCUAAUGGAAACAUUCGAGGAAGUAAGUGAAAAUAUCUUUUUUCAAUUAUAUAUACCAAUUAUAUAAGUAAUGUUAACUUAUCUGUUCUUUCGAAUGCUCUAAAGUUACAGCAUGAAUCGAAAGAAACGAUAUAAAGGGGGAGAGAAGAGGUGGAAGCUAAGACACAGGCGCAGUCAAAACGACAUACGUGAACAACCAAAAGUAUCGGCAGUCAUAAAUUGAUUGUUCAAGUGCGAACCGAAAAGAAUUAAUAAAAGCAAUAAGGAAUUGGUGAAGUGGCAAAUUUAAACCAAAAGUAUUUUGAUUGAAAUACACUGGAAAAACAAUUUUGUUAAAUUAACCAAAAUUUGGUAAGUUUAACAAAAUAAUUUCGUUGAAAUAAGCUUAACCAAAUAUUUAGUUAAGCUAACUAAAAAAUUUGGUUCCUGCUACAAAAUAUUUUUCUUGCUGUAAACAAAAAUAUAUUUGUGACAAUAGUAUAUUGAAAAAAGAAUUUGGCAACUAUUACCAAAAUUUGGUCUAUAGUCUAAACUGUAAAGGAUUAAGCUUCGAUCAAGGUUACAUCUAGAGCUUAGAAAAAAACAUUCGAACAUAUUGUAUGUGCGAUCUGUUUGAAAAAUUCGAAGUAAAAAAAAAGAACAUCCAGUUCGAAUUCUUCGGACAGUUCGAACUUAAGCAGUGAUCGAUCUGUCAAUUCAUUAUCUCUGAAGCAGAGAGAAAGAGUUUUCUCUCUGCUUUCAACAAUACAACAGAAUUGCAAACAAAUGAAGAUUUGGAUAAUUAUGAAUACGUGAAGCUGUUACGCGAUACAUUCGAUCGGAGUUUAUUUCCGAGCGACUUCGAUGGACAGUGAGCCGAAGAUACAAAUGGAUUAAUCUGUCCGGAAGAAUCUGUCCAAAUUCUAUCCGAACGUGCCAGUCUUUAUUGGAAUUCAUUUCAGCUUUCUUUCAUCAAGGAGAUGGCGGUCAGUCACCGGUGAAAAAACCCAAAUGAUUGGAUAAAUACCGCAGGGACCAAAAAUUACCAUAAGCGUAAUGUUAUCGCUGUUACUUGCAUUUUCUUUUAAAAGUAUUUUAAAUCCAGUUAUCCUAGGUAAUCAAACUCAUAAAUAAUUCUGUAACCGCGGUGAAGUUUUUCGUGCCUUUUCAUUUGACACGUGCGCGUUUUACUCUUUUUCUUCUACAUGUAUGUAUGUAUGAUGAUUGUAUCAUUAUACAUGCUUAAUUACACUCGCAAUAGCGUGAAGCAUAUGUUUACUGAUAAUUGAAAAUUGAAAUACACGAAAUAAAAAAGAAAGAGAUGGAGAACGAAAAGUUAAUUUAUUCAGAAGAAAGUAGAGAUGAAGAGAAUA